CAGCAGCCACGGUAAUACGGAGGGUGCAAGCGCUAAUCGGAAUUACUGGGCGUAAAGCGCACGCAGGCGGUCUGUCAAGUCAGAUGUGAAAUCCCCGGGCUUAACCUGGGAACUGCAUUUGAAACUGGCAGGCUAGAGUCUUGUAGAGGGGGGUAGAAUUCCAGGUGUAGCGGUGAAAUGCGUAGAGAUCUGGAGGAAUACCGGUGGCGAAGGCGGCCCCCUGGACAAAGACUGACGCUCAGGUGCGAAAGCGUGGGGAGCAAACAGGAUUAGAUACCCGAGUAGUCCCUGUCUCUUAUAC
rnacentral:rRNA from 1 species